rnacentral:rRNA from 1 species
AGAGCGAACGCUGGCGGCAGGCCUAACACAUGCAAGUCGAGCGCCGUAGCAAUACGGAGCGGCAGACGGGAGAGUAACACGUGGGAACGUGCCCUUCAGUUCGGAACAACCCAGGGAAACUUGGGCUAAUACCGGAUACGUCCGAAAGGAGAAAGAUUUAUCGCUGAAGGAUCGGCCCGCGUCUGAUUAGCUAGUUGGUGAGGUAACGGCUCACCAAGGCGACGAUCAGUAGCUGGUCUGAGAGGAUGAUCAGCCUCACUGGGACUGAGACACGGCCCAGACUCCUACGGGAGGCAGCAGUGGGGAAUAUUGGACAAUGGGCGCAAGCCUGAUCCAGCAAUGCCGCGUGGGUGAAGAAGGUCUUCGGAUUGUAAAGCCCUUUCGGCGGGACGAUGAUGACGGUACCGCAGAAGAAGCCCCGGCUAACUUCGUGCCAGCAGCCGC